rnacentral:rRNA from 1 species
ACGGGAGGCAGCAGUGGGGAAUAUUGCACAAUGGGGGAAACCCUGAUGCAGCGACGCCGCGUGAGUGAAGAAGUUAUUCGUAAUGUAAAGCUCUAUCAGCAGGGAAGAAAAUGACGGUACCUGACUAAGAAGCCCCGGCUAACUACGUGCCAGCAGCCGCGGUAAUACGUAGGGGGCAAGCGUUAUCCGGAUUUACUGGGUGUAAAGGGAGCGUAGACGGCAUAGCAAGUCUGAAGUGAAAACCCAAGGCUCAACCAUGGGAUUGCUUUGGAAACUGUUAAGCUAGAGUGCAGGAGGGGCAGGCGGAAUUCCUAGUGUAGCGGUGAAAUGCGUAGAUAUUAGGAGGAACACCGGUGGCGAAGGCGGCCUGCUGGACUGUAACUGACGUUGAGGCUCGAAAGCGUGGGGAGCAAACAGGAUUAGAUACCCUGGUA